GCCUCCUUAGCUCAGCCGGUAGAGCAGCUCAUUCGUAAUGAGCAGGUCGUGGGUCCU
rnacentral:tRNA from 1 species